rnacentral:rRNA from 1 species
UACGGGGGGGGCAAGCGUUGUUCGGAAUUACUGGGCGUAAAGGGCUCGUAGGCGGCCAACUAAGUCAGACGUGAAAUCCCUCGGCUUAACCGGGGAACUGCGUCUGAUACUGGAUGGCUUGAGGUUGGGAGAGGGAUGCGGAAUUCCAGGUGUAGCGGUGAAAUGCGUAGAUAUCUGGAGGAACACCGGUGGCGAAGGCGGCAUCCUGGACCAAUUCUGACGCUGAGUGAGCGAAAGCUAGGGGAGCGAACGGG